rnacentral:rRNA from 1 species
AGGAAGUAAAAGUCGUAACAAGGUUUCCGUAGGUGAACCUGCGGAAGGAUCAUUACCGAAUUGUCAACACGAGUUGUUGCUGGUCCUCAAAUGGGGGCAUGUGCACGCUCUGUUUGCACAUCCACUCACACCUGUGCACCCUCCGUAGUUCUGCAGCCUGGGGGCUCUGUCCCCCUGCUGUGGUUCUAUGUAUUUACACACACACACUGUAAUAAAGUCUCAUGGAAUGUAUGCCGCGUUUAACGCAAUACAAUACAACUUUCAGCAACGGAUCUCUUGGCUCUCGCAUCGAUGAAGAACGCAGCGAAAUGCGAUAAGUAAUGUGAAUUGCAGAAUUCAGUGAAUCAUCGAAUCUUUGAACGCACCUUGCACCCUUUGGCUAUUCCGAAGGGUAUGCCUGUUUGAGUAUCAUGAACACCUCAACUCUCAUGGUUUGCCAUGAUGAGCUUGGACUUUGGGGGUCUUGCUGGCCUGUGGUCAGCUCCUCUCAAAUGGAUUAGCUUGCCAGUGUUUGGUGGCAUCACAGGUGUGAUAACUAUCUACGCUUGUGGUUUUCCACCAGGUAACCUUCAGCAAUGGGGGUUCGCUGGGGCUCAUAAAUGUCUCUCCUCAGUGAGGACAGCUCUUUGAACGUUUGAUCUCAAAUCAGGUAGGACUACCCGCUGAACUUAAGCAUAUCAAUA